CGAAAACAAAAAGCAAUUUCUAGUUAAGCCUUUCUCCUGUUUCUCCUGAAUCAGGCCAGUUUCCAUGGUUCUGGAUAAAUAGAAUAGGGAAAUUUUUGUUGAGUAUAGAAGCCACUCCAUGGGUGGAAUUUGUUUCAUAAUUUGAUACAAAUUUAGGAUGUUGAACAAAGC